rnacentral:tRNA from 1 species
AUUUUUUUAGUACAAUUAGUACAAAUGAUUUCCACUCAUUAAGUUCUGGUUUAACUCCAGGAAAAAAUA